AACGAACGCUGGCGGCAUGCCUAACACAUGCAAGUCGAACGAAGGCUUCGGCCUUAGUGGCGCACGGGUGCGUAACGCGUGGGAAUCUGCCCUUUGGUUCGGAAUAACAGCUGGAAACGGCUGCUAAUACCGGAUGAUGACGAAAGUCCAAAGAUUUAUCGCCAGAGGAUGAGCCCGCGUUGGAUUAGGUAGUUGGUGGGGUAAAGGCCUACCAAGCCGACGAUCCAUAGCUGGUCUGAGAGGAUGAUCAGCCACACUGGGACGGAGACAAGGCCCAGACUCCUACGGGAGGCAGCAGUGGGGAAUAUUGGACAAUGGGCGCAAGCAUGAUCCAGCAAGGCCGCGUGAGUGAUGAAGGCCCUAGGGUUGUAAAGCUCUUUUACCCGGGAAGAUAAUGACUGUACCGGGAGAAGAAGCCCCGGCUAACUCCGU
rnacentral:rRNA from 1 species